AUUGAACGCUGGCGGCAGGCCUAACACAUGCAAGUCGAGCGGAUGAAGGGAGCUUGCUCCUGGAUUCAGCGGCGGACGGGUGAGUAAUGCCUAGGAAUCUGCCUGGUAGUGGGGGAUAACGUCCGGAAACGGGCGCUAAUAUCGCAUACGUCCUGAGGGAGAAAGUGGGGGAUCUUCGGACCUCGCGCUAUUAGAUGAGCCUAGGUCGGAUUAGCUAGUUGGUGGGGUAAAGGCCUACCAAGGCGACGAUCCGUAACUGGUCUGAGAGGAUGAUCGGUCACACUGGAACUGAGACACGGUCCAGACUCCUACGGGAGGCAGCAGUAGGGAAUAUUGGACAAUGGGCGAAAGCCUGAUCCAGCCAUGCCGCGUGUGUGAAGAAGGUCUUCGGAUUGUAAAGCACUUUAAGUUGGGAGGAAGGGCAGUAAGUUAAUACCUUGCUGUUUUGACGUUACCAACAGAAUAAGCACCGGCUAACUUCGUG
rnacentral:rRNA from 1 species